UGGGGAAUAUUGCACAAUGGGCGAAAGCCUGAUGCAGCGACGCCGCGUGAGGGAUGACGGCCUUCGGGUUGUAAACCUCUUUCAGCAGGGAAGAAGCGAAAGUACGGUACCUGCAGAAGAAGCGCCGGCUAACUACGUGCCAGCAGCCGCGGUAAUACGUAGGGCGCAAGCGUUGUCCGGAAUUAUUGGGCGUAAAGAGCUCGUGGGCGGUUAGUCGCGUCUGCUGUGAAAACUCGAGGCUCAACCUCGGGCUUGCAGUGGGUACGGGCUGACUAGAGUGCAGUAGGGGUGACUGGAAUUCCUGGUGUAGCGGUGGAAUGCGCAGAUAUCAGGAGGAACACCGAUGGCGAAGGCAGGUCACUGGGCCGCAACUGACGCUGAGGAGCGAAAGCAUGGGGAGCGAACAGGAUUAGAUACCCUGGUAGUCCAUGCCGUAAACGUUGGGCACUAGGUGUGGGGUCCAUUCCACGGAUUCCGUGCCGCAGCAAACGCAUUAAGUGCCCCGCCUGGGGAGUACGGCCGCAAGGCUAAAACUUAAAUGAAUUGACGGGGUC
rnacentral:rRNA from 1 species